UCGAAGGGGCUCAGAGACCCUAUAGGGUUAUUUGGGGGGGGGGAGAGGGACUCAGCACCCCUAUAAGCACAUCUCCCCCGGGGACACCAAAGGUUUGGGGCUGGGGGGGGGAUUGGGGUCCUGGGGGGUUUGGGGGCCCGAAGGGAUGGGGUUGGGAGGUUGGGGGCUCAGAGGGUCUAUAGGGUUACUGGGGGACUUACA
rnacentral:lncRNA from 7 species